rnacentral:rRNA from 1 species
UACAGAGGGUGCGAACGUUGCUCGGAAUUACUGGGCGUAAAGCGCGUGUAGGCGGGUUCGCAAGUCAGAUGUGAAAUCCCCGGGCUCAACUCGGGAACUGCAUCUGAAACUGCGAGCCUUGAGUACCGGAGAGGGUGGCGGAAUUCCUGGUGUAGAGGUGAAAUUCGUAGAUAUCAGGAGGAACACCGGUGGCGAAGGCGGCCACCUGGACGGUAACUGACGCUGAGACGCGAAAGCGUGGGGAGCAAACAGG